CCGUCGCGGCCUACAAGUGUGUGCCCACGGUCGGUGAAAGGAUGCCCAAGCUCACCUUCGCCUUAUGUUCUGGGGCUUAUUAUCGAGAGGACCAAUGACACAGUUCUGCUUCCUCCAAGUAGAUAUCUGUGGACACCUCACAUUCCUCCAUCUUUUUUCAUGAAAUUCUACAAGUGCACAGUUGAGUUAAUCCUCACCGGGUACAUCAA